rnacentral:rRNA from 1 species
ACUACGGGAGGCUGCAGUGGGGAAUAUUGCACAAUGGGGGAAACCCUGAUGCAGCGACGCCGCGUGAGUGGAGAAGUAUUUCGGUAUGUAAAGCUCUAUCAGCAGGGAAGAAAAUGACGGUAACUGAUUAAGAAGCCCCGGCUAACUACGUGCCAGCAGCCGGGGUAAUACGUAGGGGGCAAGCGUUAUCCGGAUGUACUGGGUGUAAAGGGAGCGUAGACGGCAGCACAAGACUGGAGUGAAAUGCCGGGGCUUAACCCCGGAACUGCUUUGGAAACUGUGCAGCUAGCGUGCAGGAGAGGUAAGUGGAAUUCCUAGUGUAGCGGUGAAAUGCGUAGAUAUUAGGAGGAACACCAGUGGCGAAGGCGGCUUACUGAACUGUAACUGACGUUGAGGCUCGAAAGCGUGGGGAGCAAACAGGAUUAGAUACCCCUGUAGUC